UACAGAGGGGGCAAGCGUUGUUCGGAAUUACUGGGCGUAAAGGGCGCGUAGGUGGCCUUCUAAGUCGAACGUGAAAUCCCCGGGCUCAACCCGGGAACUGCGUCUGAUACUGGGUGGCUUGAAUCCGGGAGAGGGAUGCGGAAUUCCUGGUGUAGCGGUGAAAUGCGCAGAUAUCAGGAGGAACACCGGUGGCGAAGGCGGUUCUCUGGGCAUGAUCUGACGCUGAGGAGCGAAAGUGUGGGGAGCGAACAGG
rnacentral:rRNA from 1 species